AGGUUAUAAUUCUGCCAAGAACAUACCUGUUUUCUUCACAGCCUUUCUGAUAGAUGUUUCAAGUCCUGAAAUCCAGUUGUUGUCCAGAGUUUCCCCUCCAAAAAGAAAACAUGGAAAACAGCCAUUUUUCACAUUUGAACCAUUCAUGGUUGAAUGAUCUAUUUUUAUCCUUUCCUUCUUAACAAAGGGUGAAAUCCUCUGGUCUAUGGGGUCCCAGACAUUUAAUCUCUAAUUUAUUGAUCGGUGGAGUACCAAAUCACACAGUCGCUAAAUAAUCUACUCGGUUCAUUGUUUUUCUAAACAGCAAACUAGUUAACUGACAAGGUAGCGAUGCCCAGUACCCGCCCUCACACCAAAUCAACCAAUAGGAAAGCGUCUGGGGCCCUGGCUGUCAGGCCCCACCAGCCAAACUGACGUGUGUUGCGGGCACG